UCACGCCCUGGAGAUGGUGUUCCUCCAUUAACCACCGCGCGCUAAACGCGGUUGAUGACGCCUACAGAAAC
rnacentral:ncRNA from 2 species